AACGAACGCUGGCGGCAUGCCUAACACAUGCAAGUCGAACGAGACCUUCGGGUCUAGUGGCGCACGGGUGCGUAACGCGUGGGAACCUGCCCUUAGGUUCGGAAUAACUCCCCGAAAGGGGUGCUAAUACCGGAUAAUGUCUUCGGACCAAAGAUUUAUCGCCUUUGGAUGGGCCCGCGUUGGAUUAGCUAGUUGGUAGGGUAAAAGCCUACCAAGACGACGAUCCAUAGCUGGUCUGAGAGGAUGAUCAGCCACACUGGGACUGAGACACGGCCCAGACUCCUACGGGAGGCAGCAGUGGGGAAUAUUGGACAAUGGGCGAAAGCCUGAUCCAGCAAUGCCGCGUGAGUGAUGAAGGCCUUAGGGUUGUAAAGCUCUUUUACCCGGGAUGAUAAUGACAGUACCGGGAGAAUAAGCGCCGGCUAACUCCGUG
rnacentral:rRNA from 1 species